AUGUUGCAUGAGAAACAGCAACCUGAGUUUUCUUUCUCUUUAGUUCUGACCUCACUGCUGAGCUGCCCAACAAACCAAGCCUCUCUGACUGUGAGUCCCAGCAGCUCUCAGAUGUUUAAAGGACAGUCUGUCUCUCUGAGCUGUGAGGAGGACGACAGCUCUGCUGGAUGGACACUGAGGAGGAACACAACCAGAGACACCAGGACUCAGUGUGACGACUGGGGAGAACCAGCUGGUUCUUCUUGUAACAUCAGCCCCAUUGCCACAUGGGACAGUGGAGUUUACUGGUGUGAGUCCAGAGAGGGAGCAACCAGUAACACCAUCAACAUCAGUGUCACUGGUAAGAUCAGACUGCUGUAACUCCCUGCA
rnacentral:lncRNA from 15 species